rnacentral:rRNA from 1 species
UACGGGGGGGUAAGGCGUUGUUCGGAAUUAUUGGGCGUAAAGAGCUCGUAGGCGGUUUGUCACGUCGGCCGUGAAACUCGGGGCUCAACCCCGAGCCUGCGGUCGAUACGGGCAGACUAGAGUGCUGUAGGGAGACGUGGAAUUCCUGGUGUAGCGGUGAAAUGCGCAGAUAUCAGGAGGAACACCGGUGGCGAAGGCGGGUCUCUGGGCCGAUACUGACGCUGAGGAGCGAAAGCGUGGGGAGCGAACAGG